rnacentral:rRNA from 1 species
AGGAUUAACGCUGGCGGCGUGCCUAACACAUGCAAGUCGAACGAGGUAGCAAUACCUAGUGGCAGACGGGUGAGUAACACGUGGUCAACCUACCGCUUUGUGGGGGAUAACUAGCCGAAAGGUUAGCUAAUACCGCAUACGUCGCAGGCCGGCAUCGGUCGACGAUAAAAGGAGCAAUCCGCAAGGUGACGGGACCGCGUCCCAUUAGCUAGUUGGUGAGGUAAUGGCCCACCAAGGCUCCGAUGGGUAGCUGGUUUGAGAGAGCGACCAGCCACACUGGGACUGAGAUACGGCCCAGACUCCUACGGGAGGCAGCAGUGAGGAAUUUUCCGCAAUGGGCGAAAGCCUGACGGAGCGACGCCGCGUGUGGGAAGAAGGCCUUCGGGUCGUAACCACUGUCGAAGGGGAAGAUAUUGACGGUACCCUUGGAGGAAGCCCCGGCUAACUACGCGCCAGCAGCCGC